AACAACGGAUCUCUUGGUUCUGGCAUCGAUGAAGAACGCAGCGAAAUGCGAUAAGUAAUGUGAAUUGCAGAAUUCAGUGAAUCAUCGAAUCUUUGAACGCACAUUGCGCCGGCAGUAAUCUGCCGGCAUGCCUGUCCGAGCGUCA
rnacentral:rRNA from 1 species